rnacentral:piRNA from 2 species
UGAGAGAAGCAGUCAGGCAGAGG